CCUCAGUUCUAAUCAGUCCAUCCCAUCUGUAAUGGCUUUAGAAAAUUGUUAAUGACAUAAAGUGACAGUCGAAGGGCUUUUUGGUCUGUCAGUGUAGGGUUACUAUGAGCUCUCUAACAAACUACUACAAGCAGGCCUCAAAGCUGCUGGAAAAUGAUCUGGAUUAUGAAGGAAUAAAUUUGAUAUGUUAGCAAUCACAAGCAGGAACUGAAAAGAAAGGCUUCCUUAAUACAGUCCUUUCAGUCUAUAAUGGGAAAUACGAAGAUAAAUCUGGCUCGGAGACAAACCCACAUAAGACUGCUGCAAGCACACAGAAUAUAGAUCUCGAUUAUGAGAUGUGUAAAACACACAAUGGCCUGAAUAAGGAGCUAAGUAUAUAAGUGCAAACAAACCCGUUUUUAUAGUUAGCAUGGCAUUUUGAAUGGAGUUUUAAGCCUAAAGGACACUAUCCUACAUGCAGAAGAAGAUGGAAAAUGUAACAUUCCAUUAUCUGAUUUUGGAUUUAUGGAAAUUUUGAACCGUAAUGUGAGAAUGACUACAGUUUGAAGUAUCCAUUAAAUACAGCAACAUGACAUCACAAGGAUUAUUUUGAAGUUGUCUGGAUAUAAGAGGCAUUAUGGAAGGUGAAAAAAGCAGAGCUGGAAGAUGAAAAGAUAAACAGAGAAAAAUAUGGUUUCAAGUGUCUCUUUUGAAGCUUAUAAAAUGCUAUUUUUUUUUUAAAUAGAAGUAGGAUCACUUGAAGAAGUUAACAGAGUGAAUAAUCAUGAAUUUCCAAUUUGGAACUAGACCUGAAUUCUGUCUUAGCUAUACUGGCAACUAAAUAUAUCAAUCAAUCUUCUAUAGGACUGAAUACCAUUGGAAGCAACUAGAAAUAAUCCCUGAAAGAAGAAAUCAUAUGUAAUAAUUGUUCACCCUACAUAGCUACAUGACAUGAAAAAGAAGGAUUAGUUUUUUUUGCAAAAUUGUAGAUGUUUCCUCUCCCCUUCUCUUGUGCUGUUCAGAGGGCAGCAGCCCUCCACUGGUCCUCCUAGUGCCCCACAUGCCACCCUGGACUUGAAUUUCCAUAUCAUAUUAUAACCCUUCAGUCAGAUCCAUGUUAGUCGUGCAUUGAACCUUUCUGCCUUCUUGUAACUAGCCAGCUGAAUUCUGUUGAAUCUAACUUCUUCAAAAACUGCUUUAAAAGUCUUUGUCCUCUCCAUUAUCUUUUCCUGUGACACUACCUAUUCAGACCACAAUUGUUGUCCCAAUAAUACUGCAACUAAUUUCUCAAAGUCCUGUUUUUGCUUUAUCCUUUUGCUUCUGUUCUCAAAUGACAAGAUGUGACCAUAUAUAUUCUUCUACCUUCAAGCCAUCUUUUGUACUGUUGCUUGAAUACUCUUUAAAAUUAGAAGCUAAAUUCUUCUGUGACCCCUCAUUACCUAAAGCAAAUUCCCAAGGCAUAUUCUAGAAAUUGUAAUUCUUGGAAAAACCAUAAGGUAAAUUAGCUGUAAAGAAUUUUUUCUAAUAGAGAAAAACCUAUUUCAAUAUGGUCAGACUUUUAGGACCAGACUCAUUUGUGAUCAUGGAGUAGUUUAAACACACUUAUUAAUGUUUAUCAGUCUAUUAUUCUAAAAAGUAAACUUUGGAAUAUACUUACCUAAAAAGUAAUGCCUAAACUCUUUAUUAUUAAUGAUCCCAGUUCCUUAUUAUUUCUGAUAAUCUAUCACAUGAAGGUCAAAUCUAAGAAAAGAAGAUUCAAGAUACUAGGGGUAAGAGGCCUUAAAGGAAUAUGAGAAGGAAAUUGUUAAGAAAAAGACCCUUUUUCAUGAGCCUUCAAAGGAUGGGGAAAAGUAAAUAAAGUUUGCCUACAAUUAUCUGGA